AUAAUGGGUCAGCGACUUAUAUUCUGUAGCAAGGUUAACCGAAUAGGGGAGCCGAAGGGAAACCGAGUCUUAACUGGGCGUUAAGUUGCAGGGUAUAGACCCGAAACCCGGUGAUCUAGCCAUGGGCAGGUUGAAGGUUGGGUAACACUAACUGGAGGACCGAACCGACUAAUGUUGAAAAAUUAGCGGAUGACUUGUGGCUGGGGGUGAAAGGCCAAUCAAACCGGGAGAUAGCUGGUUCUCCCCGAAAGCUAUUUAGGUAGCGCCUCGUGAAUUCAUCUCCGGGGGUAGAGCACUGUUUCGGCAAGGGGGUCAUCCCGACUUACCAACCCGAUGCAAACUGCGAAUACCGGAGAAUGUUAUCACGGGAGACACACGGCGGGUGCUAACGUCCGUCGUGAAGAGGGAAACAACCCAGACCGCCAGCUAAGGUCCCAAAGUCAUGGUUAAGUGGGAAACGAUGUGGGAAGGCCCAGACAGCCAGGAUGUUGGCUUAGAAGCAGCCAUCAUUUAAAGAAAGCGUAAUAGCUCACUGGUCGAGUCGGCCUGCGCGGAAGAUGUAACGGGGCUAAACCAUGCACCGAAGCUGCGGCAGCGACGCUUAUGCGUUGUUGGGUAGGGGAGCGUUCUGUAAGCCUGUGAAGGUGUACUGUGAGGUAUGCUGGAGGUAUCAGAAGUGCGAAUGCUGACAUAAGUAACGAUAAAGCGGGUGAAAAGCCCGCUCGCCGGAAGACCAAGGGUUCCUGUCCAACGUUAAUCGGGGCAGGGUGAGUCGACCCCUAAGGCGAGGCCGAAAGGCGUAGUCGAUGGGAAACAGGUUAAUAUUCCUGUACUUGGUGUUACUGCGAAGGGGGGACGGAGAAGGCUAUGUUGGCCGGGCGACGGUUGUCCCGGUUUAAGCGUGUAGGCUGGUUU
rnacentral:rRNA from 1 species